rnacentral:ncRNA from 1 species
AUAAAAGCUAUGAUCGAAAGAGUAAUCAUAUCAAGAACCACAGAGAGAAUGGAAUAAAGCUGAGAGUCCAUUUGUUUUAUUGAUAGAUGAAGUGCAUUCGUGAGCUUUUCAAGUGAAAUAAUAUUAGCUUGAUACGGGCAUCGACCGUUAUAUCGAUAUCAAGUGGAAGCAAAGCUUCAACAAGAGUGGAACCGCGGAUAAACCGUCUCUUAU